GCGGUCCGGUUUCCGGGUCGUUACAGAAUGGUAUCAGAGCCCUAGGUUCAUAUGGUCGGACCUAGAGUGUCGGGCUCAUAGAUGUGAUAGAAAGGUCAAGCACAAUAGGAAAUCAUGUCCACUAGGAUAGGAUGUAGAGUCCUGUCUUGCAUGAAAGUAUGUAUGCUAUGAGAUAUGCUAUGUAUAUGAUGUGGGUUCAUGUGUUUCCAC
rnacentral:lncRNA from 1 species